UCUUAAAAUUAAUAUAUAUUGGAAUUCAUCGCAGAAUAGGACUCCUUAGAGUUCAAUCUAUAGAUUUUAUUCGUUUGACGUAAUCUUUACGUUUCACACUCUACGAUCACUUCUGAGAGAGUUACUUUAUCUAGCCUAUGAUUCUCAACAUGUUCUCAAUAGCAGCAGUGGCUAGCGAAAUUAAAAAUUGUUGAGUUACAAAGAAAUUGGACGGAUGGAAAAUGGAUUCAUCGCCAAUUUUACAAUUGAAUUGCGACUGCUAUUUUGAAAUAUUCAAUCAAAUUAAAAUCAAAUGCGAGACUCAAAAUCAUAAUUCACAUGAUAUUAAAAUUAUAUAUGCGGAAUUACUACACUUUGUGACGUCAUGUGAAUUGACUAGCAAUCUAUUUUAUCAAUGGGAUCCAAACUUAUUUCAACGGCUGGGAAUCAAACAAAACUUUUUGGAUUCCCUGAUUAAUGACAUGGAGAAUGUAGAAAUUUAAAUAAUCUUGAAAAACUGAUGAGUUUUAAGUACAAUUUCGUUCGUACUUAAAA